GCCCCGCAAGGGGAGUGGCAGACGGGUGAGUAACGCGUGGGAAUCUACCCAGUGGUACGGAACAACCAAGGGAAACUUUGGCUAAUACCGUAUAAGUCCUUCGGGAGAAAGAUUUAUCGCCAUUGGAUGAGCCCGCGUCGGAUUAGCUAGUUGGUAAGGUAAUGGCUUACCAAGGCUACGAUCCGUAGCUGGUCUGAGAGGAUGAUCAGCCACAUUGGGACUGAGACACGGCCCAAACUCCUACGGGAGGCAGCAGUGGGGAAUAUUGGACAAUGGGCGCAAGCCUGAUCCAGCCAUGCCGCGUGAGUGAUGAAGGCCCUAGGGUUGUAAAGCUCUUUCGGCGGAGAAGAUAAUGACUGUAUCCGCAGAAGAAGCCCCGGCUAACUUCGUGCCAGCAGCCGCGGUAAUACGAAGGGGGCUAGCGUUGUUCGGAAUCACUGGGCGUAAAGCGUAUGUAGGCGGAUUGUUAAGUCAGGGGUGAAAUCCCGAGGCUCAACCUCGGAACUGCCUUUGAUACUGGCUUUCUUGAGUUCGGGAGGGGUGAGUGGAACUCCUAGUGUAGAGGUGAAAUUCGUAGAUAUUAGGAAGAACACCAGUGGCGAAGGCGGCUCACUGGCCCGAAACUGACGCUGAUGUACGAAAGCGUGGGGAGCAAACAGGAUUAGAUACCCUGGUAGUCCACGCCGUAAACGAUGGGUGCUAGCCGUCGGCUUGCUUG
rnacentral:rRNA from 1 species